UACAGAGGAUGCAAGCGUUAUCCGGAAUGAUUGGGCGUAAAGCGUCUGUAGGUGGCUUUUUAAGUCCGCCGUCAAAUCCCAGGGCUCAACUCUGGACAGGCGGUGGAAACUACCAAGCUGGAGUACGGUAGGGGCAGAGGGAAUUUCCGGUGGAGCGGCGAAAUGCGCAGAUAUCGGGAAGAACACCCGUGGCGAAGGCGGCUCUCUGGGACGGUACUGACGCUGAGACGCGAAAGCGUGGGGAGCGAACAGG
rnacentral:rRNA from 1 species